AUAUGGUUAGCUCAGCAUGGUAGAGCAUACGUACAGCGAGAUGCGUACGGACGGUCGCGGGUUCAAAUCCACGCACUGUAUUCA
rnacentral:tRNA from 2 species